rnacentral:rRNA from 1 species
AACAAGGUCUCCGUUGGUGAACCAGCGGAGGGAUCAUUAUCGAGUUAUUCAACUCCCAAACCCUAUGUGAACUUACCACUUGUUGCUUCGGCGCGCGCUUCGGCGCCGCCGAGGACACUUAAACUCUUUGUUUUUAUAAGCAUUUCUGAGUGGCCGAAAGGCAAAAAUACAAAUGAAUCAAAACUUUCAACAACGGAUCUCUUGGUUCUGGCAUCGAUGAAGAACGCAGCGAAAUGCGAUAAGUAAUGUGAAUUGCGGAAUUCAGUGAAUCAUCGAAUCUUUGAACGCACAUUGCGCCCGCCAGCAUUCUGGCGGGCAUGCCUGUUCGAGCGUCAUUUCAACCCUCGAGCCCGACUCUUUUGAGGACGGCUCGGCGUUGGGGGACGGCAGACUCCCCCCGGCAUCUCGCCGGGGACGCCGCCCCCGAAAUCUAGUGGCGGCCCUCCGAGGCGACCUCUGCGUAGUAACUUGUCCUCGCACCGGAAAGCUCAGAGCGGCCACGCCGUAAAACCCCAACUUUUUUCAGGUUGACCUCGAAUCAGGUAGGACUACCCGCUGAACUUAAGCAUAUCAAUA